GUGCUCGCUUCCGCAGCACAUAUACUAAAAUUGGACGAUAAAGAGAAGAUUAGCAUGGCUCCUGCGCAAGGAUGACACGCAAAUUUGUGAAGCGUUCCAUAUUUUU
rnacentral:snRNA from 1 species